ACGGAAGGCAGCAGUGGGGAAUGUUGCACAAUGGGCGCAAGCCUGUUGCAGCGAUGCCGCGUGAGGGAAGAAGGUUUUCGGAUUGUAAACCUCUGUCAACAGGGACGAAAAUGACGGUACCUGUGAAGGAAGCUCCGGCUAACUACGUGCCAGCAGCCGCGGUAAUACGUAGGGAGCAAGCGUUAUCCGGAAUUACUGGGUGUAAAGGGAGUGUAGGCGGGACUGUAAGUCAGAUGUGAAAUAUGCCGGCUCAACUGGCAGACUGCAUUUGAAACUGCGGUUCUUGAGUGGAGUAGAGGUAAGCGGAAUUCCUAGUGUAACGGUGAAAUGCGUAGAUAUUAGGAGGAACAUCAGUGGCGAAGGCGGCUUACUGGGCUUUAACUGACGCUGAGGCUCGAAAGCGUGGGGAGCAAACAGGAUUAGAUACCCUGGUA
rnacentral:rRNA from 1 species